GAGGAGGUGGGAGGCGAGAGGGCGCGGCUGGAGAUGGUGAUCAAGAAAUGGGGUGUGCCGGAACAGGGAGAACAGGAGUGAGGCUUGGCUUGGGGAUUGCCCUGUGGGUUUGGGCUGGAUUCCCAGGGUCGUCGCUUACCACCCGACCCCGGAAGUAAUCCUCCCUGGGUUCGAGGCCGAGGUCAGUCCCCUUUUGCUGUGUGCUUUGGGACUACUGGACCUAGGGAAGAACAGAGAUUGUUCAUCCCAAAUUGUCCUUUAAUCCUUUUUGGAAUCCUUCAAGGUACUUACUAUUUUCUCCUUUCAUAGACUAAAGAGGCUACAUGAAGUAUCAGGAAUGGAACGCGCAAAAGUCUUUUAAAAAAUACUAUGUACAUGAUUUCUUCAUUGAGAUACUCCCUCCCCAAGGCUCAUGGACGAAGCUUCAGGGAGGGAAUCAGGCCUCCACGGCUCCCUGCGCCCAAUGACUGCUGUCACCACUACCAACACUCCUUUCAAGCUCCUUGCCUGUAUUUCCAGAGAAGCCAGUGCACUCAUGCCCCACCGAAACAGAAAUGGACCCAUUGUGCUAGUGUAUUUCCGGAAGAUGGCGCCCGCGGAUAAGGCUGCAGUCCUGUCCCGGUCAGUAACAAUUUUCACUAUUCACAGACUGCGUAUCAGUUCACAUGCAUUAUCUCAUUUGAUUCUCCUUCGCCAACCAUUUACCAAAUGCUGAUUAUUCCAAUAUCCAUUCUUCAUCCUUUUUCCAACAAAUGCUUACUGAGCACUUCUUCCAGCCAAAGAGCAACUUCAAAUCCCUUCUAAACCAGGAUGGUGACUAAGAAACAAACAAACAAAAAAAGGAAACAAAUAAAAUUCUAAGCCCCUGCUGCAGAGCUAUACUUUCAAGAUAUGAACAAGACAAGUUCUAGCCAGUGAUCUCUUUCUGGUUCUUGGUUGGUGCCAACUCAUACCAUGGAAGGAGACUGACUUAAUGAAGCAGAAGCAGCAUAAUUUGAGUGAAACUGAGUCAGGAAGCAAACGAUUCCUCUGCAGGAGCAGCUGAGGUGCAUCACAGAGACCAUCUGCAGGGCUAUUGAUCUGAGGGCAGAGCAUUUGGUCCCUGGACUGCUUAAAAUUGCUGAGCAGGCAAAAGAAAAAAAAAACCCAUAAAGGGAACAGAGAGAAGAUGUUGAAGGACUUUUGGGGAAGAAAGGUCAGCUGGUCUGGAUUCCAGAAUUCUAGAUAGAAGUAAUUUUGCAGGUCGUUGAACUUUGUGGACAGGCGGGCAAGCAUACUUGGAAACCAGGAGAGGUCUCUUUCUAUGGCAAGGACAGAGGGUGCACACAGCUUCUCACACCCCCUCCAGAACUGAGAAGGGAUGAGCUCACCUGAAGGUCACCUCAGCAGUGAAAUUUUAGGGGUGUCAAGAAGGGCUCCCCCCAUGGGUGAAAUUUCUCUCUCUUAACAACCACUCUCUGGUGCCCAAAAUGCAACCAUGUUAAAAUGACUAUUGCAGGAAUUAAGAGCAGGAUUUCAAUGUAGGUGUGUGUGUAUACGAUUGUAUCGGUUUGGAGAAAAGUCUGCAAAGAUACACAUUGGUUUUUAACAUGGAUUAUCUUGAGACAGAAGGUGUGGAGUAAGUAAGGGAGGUUAAUGGAGGAUGGGAAAGAGAUAGGUAAGAAAAAAAAUCACGUUAAAAAGGGUGCCCUUGAUUAAAAGAAUGUGUGUUAUUUGUUCUGAUUUACGCAAAAGGUUACUUCUGUUGCCCAUAUAUGUAAAGACAUGCAUGAAAGAUGCCUACCAAGAUGUUAGAAGUAGUCGUCAUAUGGUGAUAAGUUUUCAAAAGAUUUUACUUUCUUCCACAUAACUUUAUAUAUUUAAGUUUUUUUAUAGUGAGCAUUUAAAUCAGGAAAGUGGGGGGAAAAAAUCAAGAACACUGUUGCAACCCAUAUGGGAAAAGCAGUAACAAAAGCGGAGCCAGUCAAAUUGUAACUCCUCCCCCUGGCUGUAUGACUCUAAACAAAUUACUUAAGCUCUCUGA